UGGGGAAUAUUGCACAAUGGGCGCAAGCCUGAUGCAGCCAUGCCGCGUGUAUGAAGAAGGCCUUCGGGUUGUAAAGUACUUUCAGCGGGGAGGAAGGGAGUAAAGUUAAUACCUUUGCUCAUUGACGUUACCCGCAGAAGAAGCACCGGCUAACUCCGUGCCAGCAGCCGCGGUAAUACGGAGGGUGCAAGCGUUAAUCGGAAUUACUGGGCGUAAAGCGCACGCAGGCGGUUUGUUAAGUCAGAUGUGAAAUCCCCGGGCUCAACCUGGGAACUGCAUCUGAUACUGGAAAGCUUGAGUCUCGUAGAGGGAGGUAGAAUUCCAAGUGUAGCGGUGAAAUGCGUAGAGAUCUGGAGGAAUACCGGUGGCGAAGGCGGCCCCCUGGACGAAGACUGACGCUCAGGUGCGAAAGCGUGGGGAGCAAACAGG
rnacentral:rRNA from 1 species